UAGUAGGGAACCGAGAGGGACCGACUCUUCGGAGAGCCUGCACAGGUGCUGCAUGGCUGUCGUCAGCUCGUGCCGUGAGAUGUCCGGUUAAGUCCGGUAACGAGCGCAACCCUCAUCUCUAGUUGCCAUCAUUAAGUUGGGCACUCUAGAGAAACUGCGCAGUUAAUGCGGAGGAAGGUGGGGAUGACGUCAAGUCCUCAUGGCCCUUAUGUCCAGGGCUACACACGUGCUACAAUGGGCGGUACAAAGGGUCGCAAACCCGUAAGGGGGAGCAAAUCCAUCUAAAGCCGUCCUCAGUUCGGAUUGAGGUCUGCAACUCGACCUCAUGAAGCUGGAAUCGCUAGUAAUCGCGGAUCAGCAUGCCCGCGGUCGAAUACGUUCCCGGGCCUU
rnacentral:rRNA from 1 species